GGCUGUCUAGUGACUGCCGGGCCCUGGCGGGCACCGCGGGCCGCCACGCCGCCGCCGAGGCUCAGAAUGCUCUGCUGUUUGCUAGUCAAUCGUCUGUCCAGGAAGUCAUGAACGUCAAGAGGACGGCGUGAUCGGCUUUCACAUACGUAUACCCCCCACAGAGGCCCCCAGAUGGAGGACCCAGAAGGCCCCUCUGCCCCCUCCCUAGGGUAACCGCUAUUCCGGUUUUAUCAGAGCUGCUGAGUGAGUUUUGGAAAUGAAAAUGAGGAUUCCUCCUCCUCCUCCACCUCGCUCCUCCUCCCCCUUCUCCUCCUCCUCCCCACCAGCAGGGGGGCAGCCUGGCAGUGGUCAGGGCCCCUCUGAGGACAAGUCCAAGUGAGGCCAGGAGACUGGUCACGUUAUGGAGAUUGAGCAAACCGGAGAAAUCGCUUACGUGGUACCCGUGGUAUUUCUUUCGGACGCUGCCGGCCUGGAAAAUGCAGAAACAGACUCAAAACUCCAAGAUAAGAAAACCGAGACUCCCAAGCCCAGGCCGCCUCGGUCUGCCGUUCCUCCCGCUCCUGCCCCCUCCCCGCUUUGACCGGAGCAGUGAGCGCCCCAUCCGCCUUCUGGGGGCCUGCAGCCUCGGCGCCUGGAAACCAGAGAGGCCAGCCGGCGUGUGUGCUGGUUGCCCUGGAGAUGGCAGGGGAAGUCUGCUCCUGUCCCGGUGCCAGGGCUGGGCCGGGCCCUCGACACCCACAUCCCGCCAGACACGGCCCGGUAAUUAAAUAGGGCAAUUUUGGCCCCGGCUCCUCGGACCCCACCCCGGACCGGGACGGUGAGAAAUCACAGAUCCUGCGGGCACGGCCCCAAGACAACGUCCGCUCCGCCCGCAAGGAGCGGGGCACACAGGGUCCUCCCUGAGCCUCCGUGCCCCCUGAGCCGGGGCGGGACCUGCUGCCCCUGCAGGCCUGGAAAAUCCCGCAGGACGGCCCACGCCCGUCUGGCUCAGAGGCGGCGAGGCGGGGUCUGCGUCUCCAGUGUGUCGGGCCUCCGUCUGGACGGGAGCCCGGGAGAGCCGAGGGAGGCAGGCCUCUGGCAGCUCCCACCUCGUUAGCAGAAGCAGAGCGCGCCCAAGGAUGUCGUCCCGGCCGGAUUAGCGGGGCCCACGCACCUAAAGACACCGAUCCUGCAAAUUGGCGGGGAGCCGGGCGAGGGCCAGGACGCAGGCUCCAUUAACUUCCCGUCCCGUCUAAUUAGCCCUAAUAUCGCCCUCAUUCUCCCUAACGCCGGGGAAGUCCUCUAGCCCGGAAUCCUCAGGCCCUUCCGGGGCCUUCCGUGCGGGCUGGCUCCCCCCACCCUCCGGCGCGGAGAGGACUCCCCAUCACCAUGUGCAAUGAAAGCAGAGAGGCCCGUUUCUCCUUUCUAUUUUGAAUUCUGUUAACUGACAAUUUAACCUGAAAUCCUCUGUAUUUCCAGCUUGUACAGCUGUAAAUAGAGACUGACAGUUUAUUUUCACGUCCCG
rnacentral:lncRNA from 1 species